rnacentral:rRNA from 1 species
GCGCAACCCUUAUCCUUUGUUGCCAGCGCGUGAUGGCGGGAACUCAAAGGAGACUGCCGGUGAUAAACCGGAGGAAGGUGGGGAUGACGUCAAGUCAUCAUGGCCCUUACGAGUAGGGCUACACACGUGCUACAAUGGCGCAUACAAAGAGAAGCGACCUCGCGAGAGCAAGCGGACCUCACAAAGUGCGUCGUAGUCCGGAUCGGAGUCUGCAACUCGACUCCGUGAAGUCGGAAUCGCGAGUAUGAUCGUGGAUCAGAAUGCCACGGUGAAUACGUUCCCGGGCCUUGUACACACCGCCCGUCACACCAUGGGAGUGGGUUGCAAAAGAAGU